rnacentral:lncRNA from 1 species
GUGUAUCAUGCAUCAUGUUUUGCACAUAGCAAGCCUGCACAAACAUUAGUAAUAUACAGGCUUUCCUUAGGUUAGGAAUGACAUUCUCACAGUCACUUUUAUUAUUACCAAAAUCAGAAUGGAGCCAUUAUUACAGCCAACAAAUCCCAACCCUUGGUCAGACAUUGUAUUAUUUGAUAAGCCUGAUACAGUGGUUCCUCUCAGUGGAAACUUUCAAACAGAGGCUGGAACAUUCCAUGUAAGCCAGCCAGCAAGGGGCCCUGGAGGGGAGCUAAGGCAGAUGUGUCCAUGCUG